rnacentral:rRNA from 1 species
CUUAUAGCACAUCAUUAAUGCAUCGAAUCCCAUUAGAACUCUAUAGUUAAGCACACUCAGGCUAGAGUAGUACUGGGAUGGGUGACUUCCUAGGAAGUCCUAGUAUUUUACAUGC